rnacentral:lncRNA from 1 species
UAGGUAAAAAUAAAAUAAAUUCUAUAGGUAAAUUUGAUUUUUCACCUCUUGUUUUUCAGGUCAGAGACACUUUCUUGUAUUGAUAUAUGAAAUGGAGUCAUGGAGUCCUACUCAAGCUGGUAACACCUGUCUUUAACCUAAAAAUAUAAAGUUAACCCAACUUUACUUGGGAGUGCAUAAGUGGGAAUUCAGGACCUCAUCGUUGGCCUUUGGAAUGAGAGGCCUGGUAUAUCAGGAGUGGCCCACAGCUACAUUUGUGCUC